UACGUAGGGAGCUAGCGUUGUUCGGAAUUACUGGGCGUAAAGCGCGCGUAGGCGGCUUUGUAAGUUAGAGGUGAAAGCCCGGGGCUCAACCCCGGAAUUGCCUUUAAGACUGCAUCGCUUGAAUCCGGGAGAGGUGAGUGGAAUUCCGAGUGUAGAGGUGAAAUUCGUAGAUAUUCGGAAGAACACCAGUGGCGAAGGCGGCUCACUGGACCGGCAUUGACGCUGAGGUGCGAAAGCGUGGGGAGCAAACAGG
rnacentral:rRNA from 1 species